rnacentral:rRNA from 1 species
GUAGGGAAUCUUCCACAAUGGACGAAAGUCUGAUGGAGCAACGCCGCGUGAGUGAUGAAGGUUUUCGGACUGUAAAGCUCUGUUGUUUAGGACGAAAGUGCCUGUUGCAAAUAGUUACAGGUAUUGACGGUACUGAACGAGGAAGCCACGGCUAACUACGUGCCAGCAGCCGCGGUAAUACGUAGGUGGCAAGCGUUGUCCGGAAUUAUUGGGCGUAAAGAGCAUGUAGGCGGGAAUCUAAGUCUGUUGUGAAAAUGCGGGGCUCAACCCCGUAUUGCGAUGGAAACUGGGUUUCUUGAGUGCAGGAGAGGAAAGGGGAAUUCCCAGUGUAGCGGUGAAAUGUGUAGAUAUUGGGAGGAACACCAGUGGCGAAGGCGCCUUUCUGGACUGUGUCUGACGCUGAGAUGCGAAAGCCAGGGUAGCGAACGGGAUUAGAUACCCCUGUAGUCC